ACUCCUACGGGAGGCAGCAGUAGGAAUCUUCCCGCAAUGGGCGAAAGCCUGACGGAGCGACGCCGCGUGAGCGAAGAAGGCCUUCGGGUCGUAAAGCUCUGUUGUGAGGGACGAAGGAGCGCCGUUUGAAGAAGGCGGCGCGGUGACGGUACCUCACGAGAAAGCCCCGGCUAACUACGUGCCAGCAGCCGCGGUAAUACGUAGGGGGCGAGCGUUGUCCGGAAUUAUUGGGCGUAAAGCGCGCGCAGGCGGUCUCUUAAGUCUGAUGUGAAAGCCCACGGCUCAACCGUGGAGGGUCAUUGGAAACUGGGGGACUUGAGGGCAGGANAGGAGAGCGGAAUUCCGACGUGUAGCGGUGAAAUGCGUAGAGAUGUGGAGGAACACCAGUGGCGAAGGCGGCUCUCUGGCCUGCACCUGACGCUGAGGCGCGAAAGCGUGGGGAGC
rnacentral:rRNA from 1 species